AGUGGGGGAGAGUUAGGAAAUAUUUAGGCACGGCGUGGUGUGUUAACUCAACAUAGCAGUAGCGGUUGUUCCUAAGGAGCGCUACUGCUAUUGUACUUAGCAGUAGCGCUUUUAUCAUGCCGGCGCUGCUACUACAGCUAUUGACGGUUACCUCGUUGGGCCCCUUUUAGCAGUAGCGCUGGAUGCCACGCAACGCUACUCCUAUUGAUCUUAGCAGUAGCGCAGGAUUACGAACGGCGCUGCUACUAUAGCUACAUCGGGUGGCCUUGUUAGUCCCUGUUUAUCAGUAGCGCAGAAUAUAAGGCCAUCGCUACUGCUAAGGACAUUAGUAAUAGCGUUGCAUUGAGUCUAGCACUAUUGCUACGUAGCAGCAACGCUUUCUACUUUCCAGCGCUACUAAUAGGCUCCUACCUAUAAGGUUUUUCUAGUAGUGGUGGGGAGCUCACUGUGAGUUUAUAAGAUAAGAUGUAUGGCUGCUUUGCAUGAGAAUUUAUAGGAUGCGCGGGAGGAAGCGACUUAGAGCAUGGUUAAUAGUAUAGCCAACUCCUGGCUAUAAGAAGUCUUAUAGCCCAUCUUAUAGCUAGCUUGUACAAUAGUUAGCUAUAAAAGAGUACUAUUUUUAUCAUAUAUGGCUCACCUUUCAUUCUCAUAAAACGCCUAGGAGCACGUGCUAGAGCUGGCUCUUCAUGAAGAGCCCGCUUUCUUUCUCUCUCCUCUUCUCUCUCAUCCAACUCA
rnacentral:lncRNA from 1 species